CGUGCCUACCGUUCCUGUCCUAUUGUUUUUCUUUUCUUCUUCCUAUAUAUAUAUGUUUAUACCUCCUAAUAUUUACUCAUACAUAUGUUUAUAUACUAUAUAAUCUUUUUGUAUGAUGUUGUGACAAAAUAAAUAAAUAAAUAAAUAGUUCAACCCCCUGCUCGCGCAGCAGACCUGUGAACUAGGGAUUCGAACCCCAGAAUUGCCAACCUUUCUGAUCUUAGUAGCUUAGCCCCUGAGCUACUUUGUCAGCUCUGUUUGUCUGCAUUCUGCAGGCUGAAAUGCUUAGCUGCCCCCUAACCUACUUCUUUUGGGGAAACGUAUAAGAAACCAGCCAGCCUUCCCCUCUCCUUUAAGGGGGAAGCAAACAUGGCCAGAUCUCAUGUCUUCGCAUUUGUUUGUUUGUUUUUCCGACCUCGCCAGACGUCUCGUGACCCACAACUGUUGGAAAUGGGGACUGUCGUGGUUUUGAGUCAGCACACACACACACACACACACACACCACCAGACGGGAAUGUAAGCCCCGAAAGAUGUUUUCUAGAAAGACAAAAGAGUCAACUCUUUUGAUGAUUCCACGGCUUUCUUUUGUUCGCGGGACGGUCCUUGGCCACAGUACAAAGGAAGCUGGGUUUGGCUUCGGGCUCUGUGACCUUCCCAGCCUUUAACCUCAAACCUCGUAGAUGUCCCUCACUCUGUCAAAGACCUAAGAGUGCUCAUUUCAAAAGAUCUAAGCCAGUGGUGAGUUGCCCCCUGCUUGGACCGGUUCGUAAAACUGGUGGGAGGCUCCUCCCACUGACCCGGACAUCAUCAUAGGUGAUUUGCGCAUGCGUGCCUGAUGCGAACCAGUAGUAAAACAUUGUACUGCAAACUAGGACAUACAAAACCUUUGCUAGACCAAUUCUCAAAUACAGCUCGUCUGCCUGGAAUCCACACGGUAUAUCGGACAUUAAUACAAUCGAGCGAGUCCAGAGGUAUUUCACGAGAAGAGUCCUCCACUCCUCUGCUCACAAUAGAAUCCCUUAUGCAACCAGGCUUUAAAUUUUGGGCUUAGACAAACUAGAACUACGUCGCCUACGGUCUGAACCUAAGCUUCAUCCACAAAAUUGUCUGCUACAAUCUCCUACCUGUCAAUGACUACUUCCGCUUCAACCACAAUAAUACCCGGCAAACAAUAGAUGCUUACUCAUAGUAAACCUCUCCAAACUCGAUUGUAGAAAAUACGACUUCAGUAACAGAGUGGUCGAUGCCUGGAAUGCACUACCUGACUCUGUGGUUUCUUCCCCAAAUCUGUCUACUGCGGAUCUCUCCCCAUUCCUAAGAGGUCUCUAAGGGGGUGUGCAUCCAUGCACCAACGUGCCUACUGUCCCUGUCCUACUGUCCUCAUUUAUUAGUACUCAUUUAUUAGGUAUAUAGUUAUACCUGUUUAUACUUAUAUGUUUAUAUGUUAUGUUUAUACUUAUAUUUCAAUUAUAAAUAUUCCAUUUAUGACUGUAUGACUGUAACUUUGUUGCUGGUAAUCCUUAUGAUUUAUAUUGAUAUUGAUUGUUUCCUGAUUGCUUAUUUGUACCCUAUGAUUAUCUUUAAGUGUUGUAUCAUUAAGUGUUAAAUUUAUACCCUAUGACUAUCAUUGUUGUAAAUGUUGAACCUUGAUGAAGGUAUCUUUUCUUUUAUGUACACUGAGAGCAUAUGCACCAAGACAAAUUCCUUGUGUGUCUAAUACACUUGGCCAAUAAAAGAAAAUUCUAUUCUA